rnacentral:rRNA from 1 species
UACGUAGGGUGCAAGCGUUAAUCGGAAUUACUGGGCGUAAAGCGUGCGCAGGCGGUGAUGUAAGACAGAUGUGAAAUCCCCGGGCUCAACCUGGGAACUGCAUUUGUGACUGCAUCGCUGGAGUGCGGCAGAGGGGGAUGGAAUUCCGCGUGUAGCAGUGAAAUGCGCAGAUAUGCGGAGGAACACCGAUGGCGAAGGCAAUCCCCUGGGCCUGCACUGACGCUCAUGCACGAAAGCGUGGGGAGCAAACAGG